GUUACUUGUACACACCGAAGUGAGAGCUUUCUUGGGGUGCUCUCUCUCUCUCUCUCUCUCUCUCUCUCUCGUGUGUGUGUAUGUGUGUGUUUGUCUGCUUGCGAGGGGUGCGCUCCCGAUAUGCGUUAUGCAAAAAUGAGGAUGAUUUGUGAAGAAAUCAUCCUUGUAAAGCUAUUGGUUCUGGUCAUCAGCCUUUAUCCAAUGCUUUGGUGAUGCUGCUGCUGAUCUAUUUGGGAAGUUGGCUGGCUCUCAAGGCAGUCUCUCUCCCUCUCCCUCUCCUCUCUCUCUCCUCAAAGGCUGUUCCACAGUGAAAAUAUGCUCAGUGCAGUUGAGUGCAUGAAUGAAAAAGCCUCCAGUAUCUUCUAGGCUAGCAAAAUGCAGCACAAGGCUCAACUUACCCUGGCUUUCCUCCUGUCCCAGGUAAGGAAUUUGGUGCUUUGAUCUGGUCUUAGGGGUUAUGUGCUUGUGUGUAUCUGUGUUUCUUUCUCGGGUUUUUUGGGGGGGAAUGUUUUGCAUUUGGCUAUCUGGAAGUGUCUUGAUUUCUCAACGAUCGCAUGCCGACUUGAAAAACACACAAGAUACGCACGAUGAAGUGUGGAUGUGAGAAGCAAUUCUCCGAUGUGAAAAAUGCCUCUGUGUGCUUUCCAGUGACAGGAAAUUAGCGACAUAAUACGUGUGUGUGCAUGCAAAUUGUAUUUCCUUCACAUGAAAGAGAGUACGGAUUGCUGGUUCCGUGGUGCCAGCAACAAGAUAUUCUAUCACCUUCAAUGCUUCAACUUUGAUUUUUAUUUUUUUUAUUUUUUUGCUUCUCCUUCCUAUGGCUUCUGCCAGGACAAGAUCAUUACAUUGCUUACUCCCCACACUCGUUAAAAAGAAAAGAGGAAGGGGGGGGGGGACAUGAUAAAGAUUUUUUAAAAAUAAAAAUGUGGAAGAAUAAGGGCUUUCCCCUGCCUCUCCUUCUCUGCCCUACCGCUUUGGUGAAUUUGUAAAAUCGAGUAUUAAUGAGCAGCUCAGCAGCCUUACCUCCCGCCCUCUUCUCAACUGUAAAAGAUCCCACCCCCACCCCUUGCAAAAAGGU